rnacentral:misc_RNA from 1 species
UUUUUUUUUUUUUUUUUUGCAAAUAGGCAUUUUCUCUAAUUUUAUUUUGGCCUUUUGGGAUCCAUACAUGCUAUAAACUGUGUUUUACUUUGCGAAGAUGAUAGUUGUUUUGCUUAUCUCAUGUGCACAUAGCUUGACAAUGUAGCUAAGAUGGUUGCCUUCUUUGUAUGGUGAUCUCAUUUCCUUUUGAUGAUGUUAAUGGUUGCAAAACUGUAGAAAGAUCUGUGAAAGAUUUUCUGUAAAUUUUCUAAUUCAUUAAUUUGUUAUUAAUCUUGUCUGUUUUGGUAUUAUAUAUAUUUGUGUGUGCUUAAUUGAGGGCAAUCCCAUUUUGACAUUAGAAUGUACUAUCAAUGGUGAUUGUAUUCACAUACUCGGUAGUUGUUGUAUUGUAUGUUUGUGGACAUACAAGUGGGAGGAGAGGUGCAGUGGACUGUUUAUAUUGCUUGCUUUAUCAAUAUUAUUCUGUUUUUGUAUUUGAGCAUUCCCAUCUGCCAUGUUGCGAGGUAUUGAGAUGGAAAUGUCUUGGGUUGCUGCUUUGGGUUGUGUUUGAUCUUUCUUUUAUAGUGUUCUUAGGAUUGCUAGCAUAGUUUAUCUGUUAUUUCCUUCAUUAUCUUUACACAAACUACUGUACAGGGAAAUGCAUUUUGAAUUAGUUAUGAGCUGUAAUUCCUGGCUACAAGGCAGUGGAAAAGAAAUCCACUGCAUCUUGUUUACUGGUUCUGUGUGAGAUCUUCUCAUUCAAACAUGUCAUCUUGUCAUCUUUAUUUUUAUAUUCAAAUAUAAGAGUUGUCAUCUUCACUAAAUCCUUCAAAUUGCAAUGAUUUUGGUAUAACCUAGCAGCUUAUAUUUGUAAAUUUGGGCUCUCUGAAUGCACCUUGUCCUUUCUCAUGACAAAGGCCUGUCAUAUUCAAUGACCAGAUAAUAAAAGCCAAUCAAAUUUGUGGGUCUAGAGUUUUAAUUAUUCGCGGUGUUCGUGCCUGUCUAAUCAUGUGCAGCUGGCAUAAGCGUUUGAUUUAUUUGCAUCUUUCUGCCACUGUUAGAAAUGUACCAAAUAAUAUCAGGUUAAAAACCUUUCAAUUAUGCAGGUUGUUGUUUUGUUAAAUAUGCAACUUCUGAAGAAGCUGAUAGGGCCAUUAGAGCUUUGCACAAUCAACAUACUCUGCCUGGAGGAGUAGGUCCUAUUCAAGUAAGAUAUGCUGAUGGGGAGCGAGAACGCAUUGGUGCAGUUGAGUACAAAUUGUUUGUUGGGUCGCUGAACAGACAGGCUUCAGAAAAGGAAGUUGAGGAAGUAUGUCACAUCUGUCAAUUGGUUGGGUUUAUUCUGCUGUCCAAAAUUAACAUUGUUGCAGCACCAUCUCUCCUCACUUAAAAUUGCAGUUGUCACAGAGGAAGCUUUUCUUUUCUCCCCUGGUGGAGAAGUAAAUUUUGCUGAUCUGCUUUGACAAAUAGAUACAUUGACCAUCAUUUGGAAUACAUUUAAAUCUUGCUUGUUGUGUACUUCUAAUUUAAAGGCACGAAUGUUGUAAUAGUAGCAACUUUCCUUUUUCAGAUUUUUUCACCAUAUGGCCAUGUUGAAGAUGUCUAUCUCAUGCGUGAUGAAUUGAAGCAAAGCCGCGGUGUGUUCUUUUUAUUAUUUUUGAUUUUGAUCUAAAUAUUAUGUGCCUGUUUUUGAGUUGGAGGUUUGGAUUUUCAGCCUUGCAUUUAUUUGCCAAGCUUUGGUGUGAUAUUUCAAAAGCGAAAUCAGAAGAGCAUUCUUUUCCGUGCUAUUUGUGAACUAAUCAAAUGCUUGAUUCUAAUAUUAUUAUUAUUCAUUUCCUUAAAACAUUUGCAAAAUACUAGGUAUCUACUUAUUGUAGUCUUUAGAAGGUAUGAGAUUGCUAAUAUGAUCAAUACAUACAAUCUCAGCUCUUAAUUCAUUUGGCCAGCAGUUUGUACUUCUAAAUUUCAUUUCUUGUGGUGUUUGUCUACAUGAAUCUAAUGCCAUUGUGUUUCUAUUUUCCUGUUGCUGUUGCUUUUCUUUAAUUCAUUCUGAAGGAUGUGGAUUUGUUAAAUACUCUCAUAGAGAAAUGGCACUGGCAGCUAUAAAUGCUCUCAAUGGAAUUUACAGAAUGAGAGGUUGUGAUCAACCAUUGACUGUUCGGUUUGCUGAUCCUAAGAGGCCUAGGCCUGGAGAUUCAAGGGGUAGUCCUGCAUUUGGAGGUCCAGGCUUUGGCCCCCGAUUUCAAGCUCCAGGGCCCAGACCGGUGCCCAAUUUUGGUGACCCAAUGGGUGAUAGAGGUCCACCUAAUGCUUGGCAUCCAAUGAGUACACAGAAUAUGGGGCCUUCCUCCGAUGCUGGUGCACGUGGUUUUGGGAGUCGGUUGCCUCCUAGAUCUGGUGACCUACCUUUAAAUCAGGCUGGUCCCGUGGGUGGCCCUUCCGAUGGUGCUCCUCCAGGACAUGUUUCUUCUACUGCACAAAAUUUUAACCAGCAUUUACAGCAACUACCACCAGUUAGCCAGCAAAUCUCUCCAUUGCAGAAACCCCUCCAGUCUCCCCAGCAUUUGCCUCCUCUUCAACUACACCCUCAAGUUACAUCUUAUUCACAGACACAAACAUCCCAUGCUGGUCAUGCUCCACCUACUGCUGGUCAGACACCUUUCACUCAAGCACCACCAUCACAGCAGUAUCUUGGUAUGAGUGGACAGUUGUCUGCUUCUCAACCUCAGCUGCAGCAGGGUGCCUCAGCUGGUACACCAUUACAAGCACCUUUGAAUAUCAACCUACAAUCCCAUUCUGGGUCUGCUGGGACAAAUCAACAACAGAUUCCUGCUCCUGUCCAGCCGCAAAUGCUUCAGCCCCUUCAUCAGUCCCCUUCUCAAUUAGCUCAGAUGCUGUCACAACAGACACAAACUCUGCAAGCAACCUUUCAGUCAUCCCAGCAGGCAUUCUCACAGCUGCAACAACAAUUGCAGAUGAUGCAGCCAUCAAAUCAAGGUUUAACAUUGCAGCAGAGCCCUCAGCCUACUAAACAGCAGAUGUUGGGACAUGGGACAACUUCCAUCUGGUAAAGACCUGCCUGCCAAUUUGUCACAUUAGGAGGUGCUGUUGCUAUAGCACCUUGCUUUUGGCCCCUCAUACUCUUAAUAUUAGGACUGGAGAUAGGAGGAGUUUGAGUGGUUAGCUCUGCUUUCCUGCAAAGUAGCUGGGAUGGAAAGGUGAUUGUUUGCUCCUAGCUCUAAUACUAGGGCUAUGUAUCUCUCAUAAUCUUCAUUGUAGAAAUUCUUGUCAGGGAAAGGUAUCCCUAACUAGCAGUUACAGACUUUAAAGAAGAUAUUAGAAAUAGAGAGAUAGGAAGAAGUAGAAAGAGGAAUUGGGAGAGAAAUGGAGUGAAAAAGAAGAUAGUAUCGGAAUUCUUGAUAUUGAUUACAGGUGUUCAAUACAACUUUGUUUAUACACUGAUUCAGCUGGAAUAUAUCCUGUUCCCACGAAACUAUUCUUCCUCUCUAACAAAUUCUAUAACUGCCUCCAACAUCCCAAACGGACUCCAGACAUCUAAACCAUAAUUAUAACUCUCUUCUAACUUCUAUUAGACUCUUUACUAGGCUUCUUCCUAUACCUAGUAUGUCUGUAUGUAACAAUUCUCUCCCCAUAUUAUGUUUCAUUCUUUGAAUCAUGGCCUUCUCUGUUGUUUAAGCUCAUUAUUGUGCUGUCUUGCUUUAAAAAUUUAUAAAAUUGUGGUUUCCUCUAAGAAUGUUCCUUUCUGUGAUUACAUAGUGGCCUGGGAUUCCACCAAAAGCAGUUGCUAGUGCACCGGCUGCAGAUGUGCCUCCAUCUACUUCUGCUCCUGGUGCACCUGUAGUAACUCAGCCAGUGGCUCCUGUAAAAUGUAAUUGGACAGAGCAUACCUCUCUUGAGGGUUUCAAGUACUAUUACAACAGUGUAACUCGAGAAAGCCGGUGGGAGAAACCAGAGGAGUUGACAUUACUUGAACAACCACAGCAGCAGCAACUGCAACAGAAACCUCCAAUUCAACAGCCUCAAACCCAAUCAAAUCCUCAAGUUCUGCCCACCCAGCAAGUGCCACAAGCACAACAGAUGUCACUUCAAGCUCAGUUCCAAACUCAGUUUCGCCACCAGCAGCAGCUGCAACAGCCUUCCUUUCCAUCAUCGUAUGCUGCUUCUGGAGUUAGAGUUCAGCAAGAUGCUCAGGAACUUGGUUAUACACAAUUACCUGCUGCAGCUAAUUCAGUUAAUGACCCAGCAAGCAUUCAGGAAUCUUCUUUGCUCUUUUCUUUUCAUUUUUUUCCCUCCCUUUUUUGUGCAUGUUCCUAUUUCUUUUCUGUAAUUCUACGUUUGUACUUUUAUCUCUGAAGUCAUUUCUGCCACAGGGGGUUCAGGCUGCUCCGGAGUGGAUGUGGAAGAAUAAGGCAGCAGGAACUUGAAGCAGAAGAGAGGGUUCCAGGGCAGCAGAGGCAUAAUGUUGCUGCUAUUCAAAUGCCUGGUGAGAAAAUGGUGGCAUGCUCAGUGACAAGGCAAGGGAAGGCAACAGCGGCACUUACUGCAAACCAAAAUGCUAGAAAUGAGAACUAGAAUGGUUUCUGCAGCCUGUAGCUUCCCGCUUUGCUCUGGGAUUUACUGUCUCAGUUACUGAGCAAAUUGAGCAUGUCUCAUCAGUACAUGGGGCAUGUAAUGGCGACACACUCUGUUGAAGUCCAAAUCCAAAUGUUAUGUAACAUUUCCAGUAGUUGUUGUAAUAUGCAUGUUAGUCCCAUUUAGCACCUUGAUUGGAAACUGCUGGAUGGCAAAUUGAUACCCAUGAAAAAUACUGUUAAUAAUAAUAAUAACUCUUAUUUGAUCAAAGUUGUAUUGCCCUAGUUCAAAGCAUAGAGGGAUCUUGCAAUGAACCUGACUACAGGUAUUAUCAUCUUGCUAAUAAGCUAGGAGUUUAAUUGACAGCCCUACAGUUCUUGCGAAUCUCCCCAGAUGUCCCAGACAGUGGCCUCAGGCUUCCCAUUUUUAACAUUGAAUUCUUGAAAUCCUCAUAGAACAAGAAUGGGUCCUCCGCAUAGGAUUCGACUAUCUGGCGUGUUUGGUCAUCAUCAGUCACAAGGGUCUGGUCGGAUGGAAGUAAUCCCUCCCCCGAAAGAAGAUUAAGGUAGUACUGGUUGUCAAAUGUUGCUGGAGUCACCAAGUCAAGGUGUGCUAGCGUAGAGGUGCUGUCGGGUUCCGAGCACAGCUGCUGCAGCGACUGAAUGAAAUCCAAAUUAAUAUCAGGGCCAUUGGAGUUGGCUGUCCUUUGAAACCGAGAGCUGAAGGUUGUGCAUCUAGCCUUUCCUAUAGUAUGAGCACCAGAGAGGGCAACCAUGUCAUUUAGUGAGAGGCCAACAUUCUGAAAGCUGGUCACUAGUGUUGCCACAGUAGAAUUUGGAGCAGGAAUAUUGUCGAUGGCUGCAGAUUUGCUAGCGCUCAAGCUGUCCUUCCUACCCAUCUGGACUUCCCAACUUGGUCCACCUGACAGAACAACAGAAUCUCUGGCAACGAUUGCAAGAAUAUCAGCACAAGAUACAGUUAGAGGACAAACAGAUUCUAGUUCGGAUUUAAUUCCAUCGAUCACUUCAAAUCCUCUCAACGAAUUCAAGUUGGGUGGUGCAGUUUUUUCACCCACAAAAUUGCCAGUAUCAUCUAGCAACACUGAAGCGUCGCAGCCAUUAACAAAGCAAUCAUGGAAAUGAAGACGAAGUAGGGAAGCUGCCAUUCUUGGGUCUUGAGAGAUUGCAGUUUCAACCCAAGAGAAGAUGAUAGCUUCUGCCUCUGGGCAGCUUUCUUGGUAAAUGUUAAAUUGCAGAACAAAACCAGUAUCAUCUAUGCAUGUUUCAUUCAAGGUGGAUGGUGUCUCUGCAAAUGCAAUUACAACCUUAAGCAUUACAAAACAGAAAGCUAAGCGCUUUGCCAUUUUUGCACUGAUAACAAGUGUUGUAAUGAGUUGGGUUAUAUAGACUCAAGAUUAUGUCAUUAAUUGUAGCAGAGAGCAGUUAAGGGACAGCAAUGGGAGAACUUAGAAGAGGUCAAGUUCACAUAUACGAAUCACAUACAUAAUGCCAUGUGCUUCCUUGUGCCUUUCUGAGAAUCCCUCUCUCUCAAACUUGCUGUUGGGGAUGGAAAAUUUCCCUCUUGUUAAGAGAUAGUGAGCUCAU